UUAUCGGAGAGUUUGAUCCUGGCUCAGGACGAACGCUGGCGGCGUGCCUAAUACAUGCAAGUCGAGCGGACAGGUGGGAGCUUGCUCCCUGAUGUUAGCGGCGGACGGGUGAGUAACACGUGGGUAACCUGCCUGUAAGACUGGGAUAACUCCGGGAAACCGGGGCUAAUACCGGAUGGUUGUUUGAACCGCAUGG
rnacentral:rRNA from 1 species